rnacentral:rRNA from 1 species
AUUGAACGCUGGCGGCAGGCCUAACACAUGCAAGUCGAGCGGAGCGGCGGACGGGUGAGUAAUGCCUAGGAAUCUGCCUGGUAGUGGGGGAUAACGUCCGGAAACGGGCGCUAAUACCGCAUACUAUCAGAUGAGCCUAGGUCGGAUUAGCUAGUUGGUGGGGUAAAGGCCUACCAAGGCGACGAUCCGUAACUGGUCUGAGAGGAUGAUCAGUCACACGGGAACUGAGACCGGGCCUAGAUUCCUACGGGAGGCAGCAGGGGGGAAUAUGGGAAAAUGGGCGAAAGCUUGAUCCACCCAUGCCGCUUGUGGGAAGAAGGUCUUCUGAUUGUAAAACCCUUUAAGUUGGGAGGCGUUCCCAACAGAAGAAGCACCGGCUAACUUCGUGCCAGCACCCGCGGUAAUUC